GGAAGGUGCCCCAUGGGUGAGGAGAGGGUUCCAGAUGCUGGGAAGGACAUGCUGUCCUGGGAGCAGCCGGGGGACAAGGGGGUGUGUGGGGCAGGUGGGGGCCAGUCUCAUGAUGCAGGGCGGGAGGCUGGGAUCCUGGGAGGGAAGGCUGCUUUUCCUCUGGGCACUCCUGCUGUUGCCCAGCAGAGCAGACAGAGAAAGAAGGUGCAGGAGUGUCGAGGGGUCUCUCAGCCUGCACCCAGUGCUGACCACGGACCCCCAAAAGCGGGCGUAAAGGAAGAGGGACUCUGGAUACCCCUGACAAACACGCCACGCGUCCAGCCAUCAGGCAGGCUUUGAAAGAUGCCAGGAAGGUCACCAGGGUCCAGCUCUGGCCGGCAGCUCCUCCCCGACUGGUCCCUGACUUCGUUUCCUUCGGGUCAACCCCUGCCUUCCCUUGGAAUAUCAAUUUCUCCAACGCCUCCGUCCUGACUGGCUGGUAGAGAGACCUCUGAGCUCUUGAUGUCAAUCUCUCCCCAUCCAGCCAGAGGUCCAGGCUGGGGAAGGGGCUGGUUUGCCUCCCUUCCCCACCCCCGUGCUCCUCCAGGCUCACCCCAGGGCUCUCCAGAAAACUUGCCCCAGGCCCCGGCCCAGCCUGCCUGCAUCUCCCUCCCCAGAUAGCCCUGGUCUCGGGUCACGAGGCUCAGUGACCUCUGUGUGUCUGCAUGCCACUGGCUCUGCGUGGCCUGGGGCCCCUCCCUGGAGGACCUCAGACAGAUGGGCGCUCAUGUACCCCUCCCUCCAGAAGGUGUCCCUUUGACCAAGACUGUCGUUCAGCUUUCCCUUCCUGCAGGCGUGGUGGGAGAUACGGCCCCCACCUCUGAACAGAUUCAGAGCGGCUUCCCACUGCUUCCCGGGGACCUCUGUGCUCUGGGUCCUGCCGCUUGGUCCCCAAAGGAAAGGGGAGAGGGGACAGAGCUAGAGGAUGCUGUGUGGGGGGCAGCCAGGGCGGGAAAGCCUGCGGAGGCGGGGAGGGAAGGUGGUGGUGGGGGGCGCUGGUGCACAGCGCUUCUGCCCCUGGAGUUCACGGCCGGCCGCGGCUCCCUCUGAAAUGGGAGGUUUCAAGGGUGAGCGCCUCCGUGUGUGUGUGCGCCCGCCCGCCCGAGCGCCCGCCUCCCGUGUGCGCGCCUGUCGCUGUCAUCGCGGAUGUUCCCCCGCUGUCACUCCGCUGCUCUCUGCUUGCACACACGCGCCCCUCCCCGCCUGCCCCUCUCCGCGGCUCCCUCUGUCCCUCCCUCUCCUCCUCCGUGUGCCAUUGACCCGGCAGCCCUGGCCCCAGGAGGAGGCAGCCGGCCGCAGGCUGCUCCCGCCGGUGCACUGCUGCCGGGUCCUGCUGGGGACCCAGGUCCUGCUGGGGAUCGGGCUGUGCCGCUGUCUGAUUCCUCCAGGAAUUCCAGGAGGGGCUGGCUGGACGGCUCAGACCACUGAUUCAAGGGGCUUGUUCCUGCCAAAGAGCGGCUGACACAGACUGGAACCCAGAGCCCACCCUGACCUGGGCGUUUCAGCCAGGUGGGCAUGGGGCCUGGGCUUGGGGAGAGGGCUCUCGCCACCUGUCUCCCCAUGGCAGCCGGAAAGACCCUUGGGUGGGUCUGAGUGUGGAAGCGCCCCCUAGGGGCCUCUCUCGACCUUGCUUCUAGGCCAGCGGUCCCUCCCCCGCCACCCCAUGCACCUGUCUGCUGGGGGC
ensembl:lncRNA